AAAUUUUUCAGAAAGAGCAGGCAGAUCCAGACCUUCCUGUGAACAUGCAAAGAGCAACUGAGAUUGAUGUUCUGUAAGCAAGAAAAAAAUAAACUUCUCAAGGGAAAAAGAAAAAGUUUGACCAAGAUGACCAGGAGUCCUGGAAAAGGCAGAGAGAAGAAGAGGACCUGGUGAAAACUAGGAGAAUAUUGUAAUUGUACUAUUUGUUUGUCUGCUAUGAUGUUACUCUAUUCUGAUUUCAGUAUCUGAAGACAGUUCACUUGUGGAAGAGUUAAACACUCGUCUAAUUUGGGAUCUACACUACAGUCUGGGGCUGUGAUGAAACCACUGUUCAGUGUUGCAGAUGCCUGUCAGGAAUUCUAGGACAGCAAAAGGCAGAUGAAUCAACCUAUCCAGCUUACCUUCUAUUUUUGCUGGUUGCUGUGGCCCUUCAUGAACUGGGACAAAAUUCAUCCUACAGAAGACGUAAGACAAUGUCACAGGGCAUGCACUCUGAGAUUACCCGUGGAUGGGGCACUGGGAUGAGACUCAGAAGAUUUAGAACAAAUCCCCAGAUCAGAGCAUCUUACCCGGUGACUUUGAGUGAAUCACUAUGCCUCAAUUCAGAAACACAUCCAAACAUGUGAAUAAUUCCAUGUUCAUGCAACCAAAUGUUUGGUGGCCAGAUGCUUGCACAAUGGGCUCCACCAAUUAAUGGAGUAUUGUAGCCUAGGCUGACAUUCAAGAAUCAUUACGGCUGGAAAAGACCUUUAAGAUCAUCUAAUCCAACCAUGAACCCAUCACCACUGUGCUUAUAAACCACGUCCUGACCUGCCUGUUUCGCACCAUAACCUGCACCCACUGUUGAGAUUGGUGCUUGGCUCUGCUUUCCUGUGGACUUUAAUAAGAUGCAAUAAUCCCCAGAGGUGAAGGUGCUUUUUGUCCUCUUCCGUGUGACUUUCCU
ensembl:lncRNA